GACGAACGCUGGCGGCGUGCUUAACACAUGCAAGUCGAACGGAAAGGCUUCUUUCGGGGGGUACUCGAGUGGCGAACGGGUGAGUAACACGUGAGUAACCUACCCUUGACUUUGGGAUAACUUCAGGAAACUGGGGCUAAUACCGGAUAGGAGCUCCUGCUGCAUGGUGGGGGUUGGAAAGUUUCGGCGGUUGGGGAUGGACUCGCGGCUUAUCAGCUUGUUGGUGGGGUAGUGGCUUACCAAGGCUUUGACGGGUAGCCGGCCUGAGAGGGUGACCGGCCACAUUGGGACUGAGAUACGGCCCAGACUCCUACGGGAGGCAGCAGUGGGGAAUAUUGCACAAUGGGUGGAAGCCUGAUGCAGCAACGCCGUGUGCGGGAUGACGGCCUUCGGGUUGUAAACCGCUUUCGCUCAUGACGAAGCUUUGUGUGACGGUAGUGGGUAAAGAAGCACCGGCUAACUACGUG
rnacentral:rRNA from 1 species